rnacentral:rRNA from 1 species
UACAGAGGGUGCAAGCGUUAAUCGGAAUUACUGGGCGUAAAGCGUGCGUAGACGGUUGCGUAAGUCAGAUGUGAAGGCCCCGGGCUCAACCUGGGAAUUGCAUUUGAGACUGCGUAGCUAGGGUGCGGAAGAGGGAAGCGGAAUUUCCGGUGUAGCGGUGAAAUGCGUAGAUAUCGGAAGGAACACCAGUGGCGAAAGCGGCUUCCUGGUCCAGCACCGACGUUCAGGCACGAAAGCGUGGGGAGCAAACAGG